GAAAAGGGCUUCACAGUUGACACCAUUUUAGAAUUGAAGAGAGAAAAAAACAAAGGGAAAAAAAAAGAGGGAGAAAAAAUGGGUUACGUAUUGAGAGUGAGAUUGGCUUCAUUCUUUGCAGGAGCAGCAACAGCAUCAUUUGCAGGAAUCUAUCUCCUUUACAAAGAUUUCCAGGUUGCCCAUGAUGCCAUCUCUCAACAGGUGGAAAGCGUUCAUGAGUCACUGGAUAGACGGAUUUCUGCUUUGGAAAAAUUGAAACAAAAUGAAGCUUCACAACCUCUGCAAGCAGCAGAGUAGGAGCCUUGAGGCAUUCUGCUGUACUUUGAUGUUGUGACAUCAGACAUGUUUUUCUGAUAUUGCCGCUGGUUUCUUUACGGAUUUCCCCCCCUUGUUAAAGAAUAAUCAUGACUCCUAACUAUCUGCAUGGUAAUACUCAAAUCAGUUCACAAAAUUUUCUUGAAGAUGCGAGAUUGCAAUUUGUAUUGGAUGAAUGGCAAUGCACGAGCAUUCAAUUUU